rnacentral:rRNA from 1 species
GAUGAACGCUGGCGGCGUGCCUAACACAUGCAAGUCGAGCGAACAGACGAGGAGCUUGCUCCUCUGACGUUAGCCGCGGACGGGUGAGUAACACGUGGAUAACCCACCUAUAAGUCUGGUAUAAUCACGGGAAACCGGAUCUUAUACCGGAUAAUAUACUGAAGCGCAUGGGUCAAUAGUGAAUGACGGCUUUGCUGUCACGUCUAGAUGCAUACGCGCCGUAUUAGCUAGUUGGUAGGGUGACGGCCUACCAAGGCGACGAUGCGUAAACGACGUGAGAGGCGGGUCGGCGACCCUAGAGGGUGGCCGCCGUCCAGACUCCUACGGGAGGCAGCAGUAGGGAAUCUGCGGCAGAAGGCGGGAACCUGGCGGAGCAGCGCCGCGUGAGUGAUGAAGGUCCUCGGAGCGUGAUACUCUGUUUUUGGGGAAGAACAACUGUGUAAGUAGCUGUGCACGUCUUGACGGUACCUAGUCAAGAAGCCACGGCUAACUACGUG